rnacentral:misc_RNA from 1 species
UACGUAGGGGGCAAGCGUUAUCCGGAUUUACUGGGUGUAAAGGGAGUGUAGGCGGCCUGGCAAGCCAGAUGUGAAAGCCCGUGGCUCAACUGCGGGACUGCAUUUGGAACUGUUAGGCUUGAGUGCAGGAGAGGAAAGUGGAAUUCCUAGUGUAGCGGUGAAAUGCUUAGAUAUUAGGAGGAACACCAGUGGCGAAGGCGGCUUUCUGGACUGUAACUGACGCUGAGGCUCGAAAGCGUGGGGAGCAAACAGG